rnacentral:rRNA from 1 species
UACGUAGGGGGCUAGCGUUGUCCGGAAUCAUUGGGCGUAAAGCGCGCGUAGGCGGCCCGGUAAGUCCGCUGUGAAAGUCCAGGGCUCAACCCUGGAACGCCGGUGGAUACUGUCGGGCUAGAGUCCGGAAGAGGCGAGUGGAAUUCCUGGUGUAGCGGUGGAAUGCGCAGAUAUCAGGAGGAACACCGAUGGCGAAGGCAGCUCGCUGGGACGGUACUGACGCUGAGGCGCGAAAGCUAGGGGAGCGAACAGG